GUAAAACUGGCUCUACCUGGAGUGUAGUUACAGACUACCUCCUUUUUUGUAUGUCCGCCUUUUUUUUUUUUUUUUUUUUUUUUUUUUUUUUUUUUUUUUUUUUUUUUUUUUUUUUUUUUUUUUUUUUUUUUGGCUGGACUAGAGUUAAUUUUCCUCUCAGUAGCUGGUAUAGUGCUGUGGGUUUUUUGAUUCAUCAUGAGAAUAAUGUUGAUAACUGAGUGAUGUUUUAAUUUUUGUGAAGCAGUGCUUACCCUGAGUCAAGGAGUUUCCAGUUUCCCAUGCUCUGCUAGGGAGGGACUGCAUAAGAAGCUGGAAAAUUUGAAAUCUUUCAACUGUUCUUAUCUCAACCCACAGGUUUUACCUUUUCUUUUUUUCCCAGUUAUCUCUGCCAUCCCGCAGGGAGCCGAGGGAGUGAGCGAGCAGUUUCAUGGAUUUAGCUGCUGGCUGGGGUUAAGCCAUGGCAUGGAGUGACAGCCCCAUAUUGCCUCAGUGCCUACUGACAGACUAUGAAUUUACCUCCCCAGGGCUGGCUCCAGCAGAGCGACAGGCUGUCUGCAGGAAAUGGACUUCAAGACACACAACAUCCUAUUGCAAAAUCCUUCACCAGGCUGCUGGGAGUCUGCUGCUUGUAACAGGCAUUGCUUACAGCCUCCAUCUCUUUGUCUUACCACAAGCUCACAUAUUAAAUUUGCGGGGUGUAGAUAUGCCCAUGGCUUAUUGCACUGAAAUCCUCAGCUUCCUUUGAUGGCACCCUGGCUGGUAAGGUCAAUUAUCUUCCACCAGCUGAUGUAUAUAUUUUAGGUCUUUUUGUCUUUUUCAAUGAGUAGGAUAGCUUUUUAACCUACUUUAUUCAAAAUUAACUCUCCAUUAUCUCUGAAAGGAUUUUGCUUAUAAUAAUCUGUCACUGUGGGAGUCUGCAGUUUCAGCUCCCUCAUUGUUGAGAGCAUUUAAUAUACAGAAAUGGCAAAUAAUACAAACACAGCUAUGGAUCUUUUCUAAUUAUUUGAUCUGUUUCUUCGAUAAAUACAGAUUUUAAAAAUUUGCCAUCAACAGCAGCAUAGAUAAUAUAGUACUGGAACUCAUUGAUCUAAUCCCCAGCAUAAGAGAUAUAAAAGCUUUUGGGAGUCACUGUGACAACUGCCUGUUCUAAACACCUGCAGGU
rnacentral:lncRNA from 1 species